UCACAGUAAACCAAACCUGCUUCGUCAUAAUCUACCUGGUAACACCAAAACAGAAAUCAGUGAUAGGGUGGAUGGAUGGGCUGCGUCAUAUAGUGGGCGGUCUUACACUGUGUGAUAAUUAUUAUUCGCUGCGUACUUUCACUUUAGUUCAGCUCUACCAGCAAAGAGGGGUCAGACGUCGUAACUACAGUAAAAGGAAGGCUCGAAGAAACAACAUGAAGUUUCUUUUGUUCCUGUCCCUGGCAGCUUUCUACUGCGCAGUAGAAUCCAAAUACACUCCACCCAAGGUUCAGGUGUACAGCCGUGACCCAGGGGAGUUUGGAAAGGCCAACACCCUGAUUUGCCAUGUGAGCAACUUCCACCCCCCUGCCAUCUCCAUCCAGCUGAUGAAGGAUGGGGUAGAAAUCCCUGAUGCCUUGCAGACUGAC